rnacentral:rRNA from 1 species
UACGUAUGGUGCGAGCGUUGUCCGGAUUUAUUGGGCGUAAAGCGAGCGCAGGUGGUUUAUUAAGUCUGGUGUAAAAGGCAGUGGCUCAACCAUUGUAUGCAUUGGAAACUGGUAGACUUGAGUGCAGGAGAGGAGAGUGGAAUUCCAUGUGUAGCGGUGAAAUGCGUAGAUAUAUGGAGGAACACCGGUGGCGAAAGCGGCUCUCUGGCCUGUAACUGACACUGAGGCUCGAAAGCGUGGGGAGCAAACAGG